ACACACAUAAUCGUAUUUAACGACCUCAAUAAUGACAGCAAUGUUUGAACCCACAACUCACACUCGACAACAGACAACAAACACCCAAGCGACGCGAAAACCCGCUACAAUUAGAAAGUAGCUCCAGUGUCACAAAUGACCAUAAAGCUGGCUGGACACACUGACAAGUAUCAACAAAACCUCAACGUUUAUCAGAUCGGCCAGCUUCUCACACCUUGUGGACAAGGAUAGGAAGAGAGAUUCCACCGUAGGGCAAAAAAGGACCAGGCUAGGCUGACAGAAACCCCAGUUCAACAGCCUCCAAAAUGACCACACAGCUGAAUCGACACCCUGUGAAACGAUUCAGAGAAAAUUCAUGCACUUGCUUGAGGAAGGCUGUACCAGGACUGGAGGACAUCAAGCCCCCCCUCAUGGGGACCUCCAUUGCCAGCCAGCUGCUGCCUCCUC